rnacentral:tRNA from 1 species
GGAGAAGUAUGUGUUGAAUAUCGUCUAGGUGUAUGGGGGUUCAAAUCCCUCCUUCUCCGCCA